GGAUCAAAAUUCAUCACAAAAAUACAAAUUCACGGAAUAUUAUGAUGUCGAGUUAACAGAUUAUUAGUUUUUGAUAGAGGAACGAAGUGUAUGUCUUACUCAAAGGAAAGGUUGUCACAACAAUGAGGACAUGUGCCUAGGGUUUUAUUAGAAAAAAAUUGACAGUGACUUAUAAUGGCAAUAAAAUUAACUUGGUAUUUCAUCAUAAGUAUUACAGUUUUUUUCAGCAAAUGCUCUGCUGUGAUUGUAACUGUUGAUGACAUUGUAAGUGUAGCUGAAGGCAAUGAAACCAGAAUAAUGUGCAACAUGACGCGAAGUAUUUCAAGUAGUGUAGGUAUUUCUACAGUAACCUGGUAUAAUGUCACCAAUGGAGUAACUGAUCAAAUAGCACAAUC